UUCCCAAAAGUUGUUGUAGUAGGAAAUCAUUUUAGGUGAAAAUGACAGUGAUCGUAUUUCUGGACAAAUUUUUCAUAUCAUGUGUGAAAAAAUUAGACCUUAGCCGACAAAUUUGUUUGAGUUCCAUCGCUAAACAAAAAGGAAUGUUGUGCCAUGCAGAGUUCCCUUACCUUAGCCAACAACGAGUCUUUUCCAUCGCUAAGUGAUUUCCACAAACGUUGUUUUAUAAACCACCACAUGCAACCACGAAAAUAUUAUCCAUAAAAUGAUUAAUACUGCUCAACCACGAAUGUUUUGCCCCCCCCCCCCCCCCCAAAAUAGUAACCGAAUGCUACAUUCAAGUGUACAAUCCACCCACCUACAUGUACCAGAAAACUCAAAAUAUUCAUAGCGCAGUACACACACACACACACUGCAUGUCUUUUACCUUCAGUA